ensembl:lncRNA
GAAAAUGGCGAGUUCCGGGUCAGGGCUGUGAGGUACGUGGAACGAUUGAUUGUGUUGGAAUAUAUUCGUUUAAUCAAAUGUCUCUGUAGUUAAAAUAAAAAUAAAUACAAAAUAAAAAGAAAUAAGAUGUUUUAUUUUAUAGUAAGGGCAUUUUGUUUUAUUUCCUGACUUGGUCCUUGGCUCGCUAGAUGUCUGAGCUUAUCUCUAAUCUAUCAUUAACAGCACCAACAACAGUCAUAAAAAAGUCAUUAUAACAACAACAACAACAACAGUAAUAAACAGUGUGUGAGAAGCAUGGUCGCUGAAGUCAUAAAGCCGUGUAUGUGUUUAAAUAAACUGAAUGCUGUUACACAUGAUCACUCCUGCUAGUGAUUUCGAGGCCCACCUCUGUACCAUGUGUGGUAUCGAGAUUACUUUAAAGCGUUUAGCUAAAUGAUUAACAACAUAACUAGGGUUAUAGUUUCGUUAUUCAACAGCCAUCCCUCACUAGUCUUCUUCAUUAGCAUUCCGACCAGCAAUCUGUGUUGAAAACUUAACCAUUAUGAAUAAACUCUUUCCACUUAUUAGGAAGGGAGAUUCCUGAAUCACUCCUGAAUGUUUCCGUUUUGAUUCAGGAGUCACGAUGCUUUUUUGAUUCAUCAGGAAUCUUUUGGAACAGAUUUUGACCUCUGUACUGUGCAUUAGGGUUUUCUUUCCACUAUGACCACUUGUUGGUCACUAAAGUCCCCAUGAAGUCAAAAUGGAUGUUUUAGUAUGAACUUAGUUAUCUAUAAGCUAGUGCGCUCCAAAACAUUUAGAAGAUAUACGCAUUCAAAAUGGACAGUCUCUCUCUCUCUCUCUCUACCACUGAUACAGAAAAACAAUUCUCAUGAUGUCAUUCUGCACUUCAGCCUCUCAUCAGAUUUUUUUGUCCAAUCAAAUGCUCUCUAGAAUCUGAAGUGUCCAGCCCCAGGCAUUAAAAAAUUAAAUAGAUCCAUGUAUAACUUAGCCCAGGCUGUGAGCUGAACUAAAUGCUAUUGGCUAUUUAAAAAGGGGGAGGAGCCAUUCAAUAUGUUCCGUCCUGACUUCCUGUUUCAGUGGAAAUUAACACACUGAAUAAAGCUCC